rnacentral:lncRNA from 1 species
CUUCUCGUCCGCGGGUCUGGUUUGGUCCCAAUCGACCAGUCAAUCGACCAACUGGUCUAUUGCUUUCAUCCUCCUCUUGAUUCUUUGAUUCUUCACUUCUUUUAACUCCAUUUGCUUAUAAAACUCAAUGCUCCACUCCAAGAACCUAAAAGUAAGAAAUGCUAUGGAAAUAUGCACCUAAGGACCUAAACAAGAAUGCAAAAUGAUGAAAAACCAAGAGAAACAAAGCUUAAAAAGGAGCAAAAACACAAGAUAUCAACUCCCCCAAACUUAUCUCUUGCUAGUCCUCAAGCAAGGGCUAAGAAAUAAGAUGGAAAAGAAGUUUGAAAGCGGGGAUUCAUAGCCACAAAUUAAAAUAUCAAACAAAGGAUUCAACUCAAAGUCCUUAAAAAUAGUUCAAAUUUGCUUGAGUCAAUCAUCAUACUCUUUCGUACUUUUCCAUACUCAUUUCAAUGCAUGAUUCUAUUUCAAUUUCUAACUAUUAGUAAAGACUCACAAUCAAAUUGAAACAUCUCUUUAACAUUCAUUCAAGUGUUUGGCGCGGUCUCGCAAAUGGAAAGUAAAUCAUUCUUAAUCGGUUUUGGUAAAGGUUUUUGGAGGUGGUUUCAAAAGAUUCAUACUUUGGUGGCUUUCUCUCAAGAAAAGGAAUGCUAGACAAUCAUGAAAUCCAUCUAAGACCAAGAACAAUUUAUGUAUACAAAGUUAAGCUCUUGUUGUUCUACCCGCCUAAGAUGUAAACUCCUAUUUCUACUCUCUUUGCGAAUUAUUUUCCUCUUCUUUUCUACCCCAAACACUAGACACUUUGGUCUUUUUAAAUCACCAACCUCAAGAUCACUUUCUUUUUGUAGUCACCUAGGGAAAAUUUCUCUUAAAUACUUAGCUCUUUUCUAUCUCUUUACUUUGGUUUUCUUUGCUCUCAUUACUUAUAACCUUGUAAAUUUCUUUUUCUUUUGGGGAACUAACUUCACACUUUUCUUUCUCUUUUAACUUAGAGACUUAGAGCUUUUAUUUUAACUUUAUUCCCUAGGAACUCUUUAUUUGCAUGGUCAAACCUUUCUUUUCAUUUUUCUUUCUUCCUUUUUCCCAAACCCAAUCCCAAAUAUUCAAUCUAACCACCCAACUCUUUCAUUCCCAACCUAUUAGCUAGUCAAAGAUGUUCAAAAAGCUAGCUAAAACAAGAGCAAAAACUUUGUCGUUCUCAAUACUCUCAAGGUUUCAAAAUCUAUAGCAUUUUCAAACAAGAGGCCUCACUCACAAUCAAUCAUAGGUUUGAAAGAAAAGGUUUGAGGUUAAGGGUAGGGAAACCAUUCUAAAGGUGAGAAUGGCCAUUCGGGUUUACAAAAGAGUGGCAAGCAAAGUGGAUAAGAAAACCCGAAUGAUUCUUUUAGACAACCAUGAGAAUGCAUUUAAAAUCCAUGAGCGAGAAGAUUAAAAUCAAAUUAAGUUCAAAUUCAUAGAGAUGUUUCAAAGUCAUGUAAGCUUCACACAAGUAGAAAUUGCUUUUGAAAAACGCAAAGGUCUAAGUAUGAAUUUUCCAUUUUUUCUUAGAUGAUCAAGCAACGAUUAACUAUGAUUAAGGGCUUUAAGUUCAAUCCUAAGCUUGAAUUUCUACAAGGUAAUUGAAUCAUUAACCCCUAUGCAUAUGCAAAUGCAACUAAAUGCUUCUAGACUCAAUAUUAGAACAAAAAAAAAAAAAAUGAAUAUGCAAAGCUACAUGAUUCUUUUUGGAUUUUUCAAAAUUUUCAAAUUUUUUUGAUUUUUUUCUCAAAACAUAGCUAUUGACAAUGCAAGACUCAAAAGGAUGAAAUCAAAAUAGAACACAAUGUUAGAUGGUUAGUCUCUCCCCCAAACUUAUUUCACAGCGUCUCGGUGUGAAGAAAAAUAUGAGAAAAAGACUAACAAAACAGAGAAUGCAAAAGACGAGAAAAAUAAAACUAUGUACAAGGAUUUGGAGUGGUACCUCUAGUAAUGAAAGAAGCUUGAGGAAUCUAUGGAAUAGAGUGAGACGAAUCCAUGUAUCCCCCGGAUCAUAUUCAUCGUAGUACCAUCCCCUAAACUUUUUCAUCCUAAUCUCCUCAAAGAGUACCUUCCUCGGUUCAUCAAUGCUCAUUUCAUUGGUGGAGAUUGUACCAAGAUGCUUUCGGACCAUGUAUUCAAAAACCAAAACACCUUCACAAGGAUCUUCAAAUCUUUUUCCAACCACACCUAAUCUUUUCUCAUUGCUCUUGGUUGAAUAACUCAAGAUUGCCACGGGUUCAACUUGUUUUUCAUAUCUCACUACAAGAUUCUCAUCAACCGUGCAUUCAAGAAGCAAUUCAAAUUCUCUUAUAGACUCUUUGGCUUCUUGGAGGAAUUCAUCCUUGAUUUGAGCAUUUUCCUCAAAAACUUCUCCAAUAUCAUUAGGAAGCACCUCUUUUGUCUUGGUUUCGCUAAGAGGAAUGCAUUCUUCUUCUUGUUCCUCGAUCCAUCGUUUAAGGUUGGUGUUGAUAGGCUCCACAUGUGUUGUCUCAAAAACCCUUGAACCUUGAGUCCAGGCACCUAUCUCGGUGUCAAUCAUGCGAAGACUCUCAUUAUACUUCUCUUACUCUUCCAAAAUCAACUUCAACAAGUUGUAAUUCUCUUCUUCAUUAGAGAUUGGGGAAGAAUAGAGUGCUCCAUAGUCAUAGUCCAUCUCCGAAGAUUGAUAUCUACCAUAUCCCCAUUGGUUCCCUUGAGCAUUGUUUCCAUCCGGUUGAUACUCUCUUGAGGUGGAUGUUUCAUAAGCUCCUUGAUAGCUUGUGGAGUUCCAAACUAUCCCUCGUUCUUGGUCUUCCAAUAUGAGCUUCAACAUAGAAUUCAUGUAGGAAGACAUCUUCUUUCUCCCUUGUGAGUGUAUCUUGAAAAAGAACAAACACUUGAAAGAAAGUUAGUAACCAAACAAACUAAAAUGAAACAAGCUUAGUCUCAAGAAAAUUUGAAAUCCUAAUGAUAAAUCUACUUAGUUCCCCGGCAACGGCGCCAAAUUGAUUAGGAGGUUUUCUCUCAAUUAAUAUUUCCUCAAGGUCCAAAAACCACAAUCUAAUGGUUAUCGUUUAUAGCACUUAAGGGUCGAAUCCACAGAGAACUAGAGAUCUAAGACACUAAGAAUACACAAAAUUUCUUAAUCUAAGCAAAUAUAGGAUUGGUUUUAAACUAACAACCUAAGUAAAAUAAAAACAAAAGGAACUAAAAUGCAAAUGAAAUAAACAAACCAAAAGAAAUUGACAAAGCUAAACAAGUGUCUAAGCUAAGCAAUAACCCAUAAACAUAAAGCAAUAGCAAAAUAAAUGAGAAAGAUGCAAUUUAUAAAAGUCAACAAAAAGUCAACGAAAGUCAACAAAAAGUCAAAGACGAAAAUGCUAAAUGAAUAAGCCUUUGGGUUAAGGUUAUUGACUUGGGUGGUCAAAGGAUAGUCUAUGAUGCUAAUACAAUCAAUUAUUUGCUAAUCCUUAGGUCUAAGAUCACUAAUUUAAGCUAAUCCACUUCCAUGGCAAUAACUCUACAUUAAUCAAGCAAUUAACAUCAAUUUCCAUUGGCAAUCACAAGACUAAUAUGCAUUAAUUUCAAGUCUUACUAACCACCUAGCACCCUAAUCAUCAAUUUCCAUUGGCUAGGAAUGCUAAGCACUCACUAAGUUCUUUCGGGAAUUUCAUCGAACACCUUCCGGGCAUGAAACUUCCUAUGAUCUAGACUAGCUUAAUCAAGACUAAUCUAGCACUAAGAGCACCUAGAGAGUAAGGAUAUAUUAAGACUAAGUCCUAAGCAUCACAAAUCAUCACCUAAUCACCCUAAUCUACUUGACCCAAAAGCUCUAAGAAGACUACUCACUUAAAGCCAUGAAAAUCCAAGGAGUUGACACUAAUCCUUGAAAAUUCAUGUUAGAAGAAGAGUAUAAGAGAUAGAUAGAAGUUGAAUCUAAAGAAAUACUUAUAUAAAAGCAAGAAUCACAAAGGUUUAAAGUUGAUUACAAAGAGAAAUGAAGAAAACUAGGCUUAGGUAGCAUAAGAAAUCUAGAAAUUAGGUUUAGACACAUUUAUAGGAAAAGAAAACGAACCGGGUCAACCCGGAACAAACCGGGUUUUGACCCGGUUUAAGUACCCAAUCGACCAGGUAAUCGACCAGCCAAUCGAACAGUCAAUCGACCAACUGGUCUAUUGCUUUCAUCCUCCUCUUGAUUCUUUGAUUCUUCACUUCUUUUAACUCCAUUUGCUUAUAAAACUCAAUGCUCCACUCCAAGAACCUAAAAGUAAGAAAUGCUAUGGAAAUAUGCACCUAAGGACCUAAACAAGAAUGCAAAAUGA